rnacentral:ncRNA from 2 species
AUAAUACUGCCGAUCGUCGGUGCCCGUUUGAUUUGCCAGGGCUUAAUAGAGAACACAGCGAAACUGUGGCUGCUCCCGCAAUUGUACGCAGAGAGUCCGCGCUCCACUGCCACUGGUUUUUACCGGGAAGGCGCCGGCGCGAACGUUGACCUGCCAUCCAGGAGACCUGCCGACUCUACGCAUUCGCG